rnacentral:lncRNA from 1 species
GGGGGGCGCGCUGGGCCAGGCCCGCAGCGCUCCUGUCGCCCGGCCCCGCUCCAGCCCCUCCGGCCUGGCGGGGCCCCGCGGCUUCUAUUUCUGUCGCGGAGGCCGGGGCCCCGCGCGCAGGACCGGAGCCGCGCACUCAGACAGGGAGUGAGGUGACACUGGUGGCCUGUCACCUCAUAUCUACCCCAGGCCUGGGGCCUGCCUGCUGGCUGCCUGGGCGCCGUUAUUUGGGAAUGUUUACUGUGUCCCAGAAACAGGCUGCCUCGGCCAGCGCUGAGGCCAGGAUUCUAGAAGAUAAUGCCCCCUAUUGUCACUGAAACGGUUGGUGUCUGUGCACAUCGUCUGCAAGAAUAAAGAAGAAUAAAGAGCGCUGCUCUGAGGAACUCCUGGCACCGCGUCCUACCAGGGACGAAACCUUCAGGAACAAGGGGACUGUGAGGGUCCCAGUGGGACGUUUCACACCCGGGAGCCAGAGCUUCAGACUGAAAGUGUCUUUAGCACACCCAGCAGCAGGAAAAUGGAAACCGCGGCUGCUCUCUCCUCCGUGGGAAGCGAUAGAAGCGAGCAAGCGCGUGGUGGAAACUCGCACUUUCUGAAAUAACUGUGCUUUGACUCGGAGGGGAAACAGGAAGCCCUUCUAUCUGUUUAGGUGAGUUUUUAUCUCUGCCGGUGGGGCCUGUCCUUUUAAGUUAUGUUUCUGCAAAAGUACUGGUUGAAUCUCUAGUGUGAACAGGAAGUCAGAUAUGCUGACUAACUUUUCCUUUAUUUUAACGGCGUUUUUUAUUGUUUUGAAAACGAAGGCAGAAAGCAGAGAGGCCGAAGCUGCCGCCUUGAGCCCUGGGGGCCUACCGUCCAUGCUGUGUUUCUCAGGGCUUGUCCAUUCCCUUUCACACACCCAGAUGCACGUGCGUGG